ACUGCUGUGAGCAAAAUGAAAACAGAGAAGGAGAAAGAAGGGAGAAAAAAGAAGAGAGAAGAAAAGGAAAGGAAGUAGAAGGAAAGAAGGGAAGAAGUGAGAGAGACUGCAGCUUCUCCCUUCUCUCUGCUGUGCUCUUGCUACUGGAGAUGUUGCUGCUGCUGCAGCCAUGCGCACAGAUACUGCCAAGUACUGCUAUUGCUGCUGGGAGCUAGGACCCGAGUUGCACAGCUACUGGUGGACUCACCUGUACAUCUCGAGAACACAGAAUAGGAGCCGAAAUGGAGAUGGUUAGAAGAUUUGUUCGGUUAUGGAGAUAUUUAAGUAAACACUCACAGAGGAGAUUCAUGAUGUAUACCAUGUAUUAUAAAUUUAGUUGAAUGUAAGACUUACAAGUUAUUCAUUAUAACCUGUGGAUUUAUUUGUACGGGCCUGUAAUAUUACAUAUAUCAUUGUAGAUGAUCACCAUGCAUAUCAUAUGAUUUAUGUUAUGAAUUCAUUAUGUAUACUCUGAUUUAGUAGUAAGUCAAGUGGUGGGUUUAGUUAUUACCCA